AAGCUUACAUGUCAUAAUUGUGUCACCUCUAGGCACAAGUUAAAGCAUUUUCACUACUGUCAUUCUUAGGAAAAUUAUCUUCUAACUGGAUUAUAUUAAAAUGGGCAAGUACGUAAACUUUCAAUCGCCGAGGGGACGCCGCUACAUUUAUUUAGAUGAUGACAAUCAAAGCAAUGAAAGUUCCGAUAUAAUCAAUCUGAGAUAUGUCUUGAGGAGCAUACAGCGCCCUCGACUAUUCUUCACUAUGAGUUCGGAACGUCUUCAAAGAGCUAUGCUGGUAGCCAACAACAUUCGUGGAAGAAUUUACUCAUUUAACUUAUCUCGUCUAAUUGUGGGUUCUUCAAAUUCUUGGCCUGACGGUAGUCCAAGGACAAAUCACAGUUCUUCCCAACAUUAAAAUGGAGAAUAUGUCACUAUGCACCUUUGCACAUCAGCUGAGCCGCCAAAGGACCAAACCGCAAUAUGAAGCAGGUCGUGACAGAAAAUACAUUUAUGCAAGUCCUUUUGCGCUUUAAUUGUUUACUAUUGGCUAAUAACCUGGCGAUAUCAAGGAGACUUUGUGGAUAUGUAAAAGAAGUCAAGAAAUAAACAUUAUAAUUUUCACAUUCA